GAUGAACGCUGGCGGCGUGCCUAAUACAUGCAAGUCGAGCGAACGGACGAGAAGCUUGCUUCUCUGAUGUUAGCGGCGGACGGGUGAGUAACACGUGGAUAACCUACCUAUAAGACUGGGAUAACUUCGGGAAACCGUAGCUAAUACCGGAUAAUAUUUUGAACCGCAUGGUUCAAAAGUGAAAGACGGUCUUGCUGUCACCUAUAGAUGGAUCCGCGCUGCAUUAGCUAGUUGGUAAGGUAACGGCUUACCAAGGCAACGAUGCAUAGCCGACCUGAGAGGGUGAUCGGCCACACUGGAACUGAGACACGGUCCAGACUCCUACGGGAGGCAGCAGUAGGGAAUCUUCCGCAAUGGGCGAAAGCCUGACGGAGCAACGCCGCGUGAGUGAUGAAGGUCUUCGGAUCGUAAAACUCUGUUAUUAGGGAAGAACAUAUGUGUAAGUAACUGUGCACAUCUUGACGGUACCUAAUCAGAAAGCCACGGCCAACUACGUG
rnacentral:rRNA from 1 species